rnacentral:tRNA from 1 species
GGUCCGGGGUGGGCGCGGGCGUCGCCGCGGGGCGGCCGCGGCCCUGGAUGGAGACCACCGCGCCGCUCGGAUCGACCCCGACCCGGGCCG